rnacentral:rRNA from 1 species
CGGGUGAGUAAUGUCUGGGAAACUGCCUGAUGGAGGGGGAUAACUACUGGAAACGGUAGCUAAUACCGCAUAACGUCGCAAGACCAAAGAGGGGGACCUUCGGGCCUCAUGCCAUAAGAUGUGCCCAGAUGGGAUUAGCUAGUAGGUGGGGUAACGGCUCACCUAGGCGACGAUCCCUAGCUGGUCUGAGAGGAUGACCAGCCACACUGGAACUGAGACACGGUCCAG